GGUGAACGCUGGCGGUGGGCCUAAUACAUGCAAGUCGAACGGACAGACAGUGAGAGUUUGCCCCUAAGGGUGGCGAGGGGCGGGUGGGUGACACGUAGAUAGGCUUCCUCUUAUACGUGGGGGACAUCGGGGAAACAGUGCCGAUAACACCGCAUACGUUCUACCGGAUGGAUCAGGAGUUCAAGAGAGCUUUGGUGUUUGAUUUAGACGGAUCCGCGCCGGCUUAGCUAGUUGGUAAGGUAACGGCUUACCAAGGCAACGAUGCGUAGCCGACCUGAGAGGGUGAUCGGCCACACUGGAACUGAGACACGGUCCAGACUCCUACGGGAGGCAGCAGUAGGGAAUCUUCCGCAAUGGGCGAAAGCCUGACGGAGCAACGCCGCGUGAGUGAUGAAGGUCUUCGGAUCGUAAAACUCUGUUAUUAGGGAAGAACAACUGCGUAAGUAACUAUGCACGUCUUGACGGUACCUAAUCAGAAAGCCACGGCUAACUACGUG
rnacentral:rRNA from 1 species